rnacentral:rRNA from 1 species
AUACGAAGGGGGCAAGCGUUGUUCGGAAUAACUGGGCGUAAAGCGCACGUAGGCGGAAUGUUAAGUUAGAGGUGAAAUCCCAGGGCUCAACCCUGGAACUGCCUUUAAUACUGGCAAUCUAGAGACCGAGAGAGGUGAGUGGAAUUCCGAGUGUAGAGGUGAAAUUCGUAGAUAUUCGGAGGAAAACCAGUGGCGAAGGCGGCUCACUGGCUCGGUACUGACGCUGAGGUGCGAAAGCGUGGGGAGCAAACAGGAUUAGAUACCCUAGUAGUCC